CUACGGGUCGCUCCAGUGAGGAAUAUUGCACAAUGGGGGGAACCCUGAUGCAGCAACGCCGCGUGGAGGAUGACGCAUUUCGGUGUGUAAACUCCUUUUAUAUGUCAAGAAAAUGACGGUAGCAUAUGAAUAAGCACCGGCUAACUCCGUGCCAGCAGCCGCGGUAAUACGGAGGGUGCAAGCGUUACUCGGAAUCACUGGGCGUAAAGGACGCGUAGGCGGGUUGGAAAGUCAGGUGUGAAAUCCUACAGCUUAACUGUAGAACUGCACUUGAAAUUUCUAAUCUAGAGUAUGGGAGGGGGAGAUGGAAUUAGUGGUGUAGGGGUAAAAUCCGUAGAUAUCACUAGGAAUACCUAAAGCGAAGGCGAUCUCCUGGAACAUUACUGACGCUAAGGCGUGAAAGCGUGGGGAGCAAACAGGAUUAGAUACCCUAGUAGUC
rnacentral:rRNA from 1 species